rnacentral:rRNA from 1 species
GCUAAACCAUGCACCGAAGCUGCGGCAGCGACGCUUAUGCGUUGUUGGGUAGGGGAGCGUUCUGUAAGCCUGCGAAGGUGUGCUGUGAGGCAUGCUGGAGGUAUCAGAAGUGCGAAUGCUGACAUAAGUAACGAUAAAGCGGGUGAAAAGCCCGCUCGCCGGAAGACCAAGGGUUCCUGUCCAACGUUAAUCGGGGCAGGGUGAGUCGACCCCUAAGGCGAGGCCGAAAGGCGUAGUCGAUGGGAAACAGGUUAAUAUUCCUGUACUUGGUGUUACUGCGAAGGGGGGACGGAGAAGGCUAUGUUGGCCGGGCGACGGUUGUCCCGGUUUAAGCGUGUAGGCUGGUUUUCCAGGCAAAUCCGGAAAAUCAAGGCUGAGGCGUGAUGACGAGGCACUACGGUGCUGAAGCAACAAAUGCCCUGCUUCCAGGAAAAGCCUCUAAGCAUCAGGUAACAUCAAAUCGUACCCCAAACCGACACAGGUGGUCAGGUAGAGAAUACCAAGGCGCUUGAGAGAACUCGGGUGAAGGAACUAGGCAAAAUGGUGCCGUAACUUCGGGAGAAGGCACGCUGAUAUGUAGGUGAAGUCCCUUGCGGAUGGAGCUGAAAUCAGUCGAAGAUACCAGCUGGCUGCAACUGUUUAUUAAAAACACAGCACUGUGCAAACACGAAAGUGGACGUAUACGGUGUGACGCCUGCCCGGUGCCGGAAGGUUAAUUGAUGGGGUCAGCGCAAGCGAAGCUCUUGAUCGAAGCCCCGGUAAACGGCGGCCGUAACUAUAACGGUCCUAAGGUAGCGAAAUUCCUUGUCGGGUAAGUUCCGACCUGCACGAAUGGCGUAAUGAUGGCCAGGCUGUCUCCACCCGAGACUCAGUGAAAUUGAACUCGCUGUGAAGAUGCAGUGUACCCGCGGCAAGACGGAAAGACCCCGUGAACCUUUACUAUAGCUUGACACUGAACAUUGAGCCUUGAUGUGUAGGAUAGGUGGGAGGCUUUGAAGUGUGGACGCCAGUCUGCAUGGAGCCGGCCUUGAAAUACCACCCUUUAAUGUUUGAUGUUCUAACGUGGACCCGUGAUCCGGGUUGCGGACAGUGUCUGGUGGGUAGUUUGACUGGGGCGGUCUCCUCCUAAAGAGUAACGGAGGAGCACGAAGGUUGGCUAAUCCUGGUCGGACAUCAGGAGGUUAGUGCAAUGGCAUAAGCCAGCUUGACUGCGAGCGUGACGGCGCGAGCAGGUGCGAAAGCAGGUCAUAGUGAUCCGGUGGUUCUGAAUGGAAGGGCCAUCGCUCAACGGAUAAAAGGUACUCCGGGGAUAACAGGCUGAUACCGCCCAAGAGUUCAUAUCGACGGCGGUGUUUGGCACCUCGAUGUCGGCUCAUCACAUCCUGGGGCUGAAGUAGGUCCCAAGGGUAUGGCUGUUCGCCAUUUAAAGUGGUACGCGAGCUGGGUUUAGAACGUCGUGAGACAGUUCGGUCCCUAUCUGCCGUGGGCGCUGGAGAACUGAGGGGGGCUGCUCCUAGUACGAGAGGACCGGAGUGGACGCAUCACUGGUGUUCGGGUUGUCAUGCCAAUGGCACUGCCCGGUAGCUAAAUGCGGAAGAGAUAAGUGCUGAAAGCAUCUAAGCACGAAACUUGCCCCGAGAUGAGUUCUCCCUGACCCUUUAAGGGUCCUGAAGGAACGUUGAAGACGACGACGUUGAUAGGCCGGGUGUGUAAGCGCAGCGAUGCGUUGAGCUAACCGGUACUAAUGAACCGUGAGG